rnacentral:rRNA from 1 species
CGGCCGCGUCGACGCUAGCUACAGGCUUAACACAUGCAAGUCGAGGGGCAGCAUGAACUUAGCUUGCUAAGUUUGAUGGCGACCGGCGCACGGGUGAGUAACACGUAUCCAACCUUCCGUUUACUCAGGGAUAGCCUUUCGAAAGAAAGAUUAAUACCUGAUAGUAUGGUGAGAUUGCAUGAUAGCACCAUUAAAGAUUUAUUGGUAAACGAUGGGGAUGCGUUCCAUUAGGUAGUAGGCGGGGUAACGGCCCACCUAGCCGACGAUGGAUAGGGGUUCUGAGAGGAAGGUCCCCCACAUUGGAACUGAGACACGGUCCAAACUCCUACGGGAGGCAGCAGUGGGGAAUAUUGCACAAUGGGCGCAAGCCUGAUGCAGCGACGCCGCGUGAGGGAUGACGGCCUUCGGGUUGUAAACCUCUUUCAGUAGGGAAGAAGCGAAAGUGACGGUACCUGCAGAAGAAGCACCGGCUAACUACGUGCCAGCAGCCGCGGUAAUACGUAGGGUGC